rnacentral:rRNA from 1 species
GAUGAACGCUAGCUACAGGCUUAACACAUGCAAGUCGCAGGACUGGCGCACGGGUGAGUCACGCGUAUCCAACCUUCCCAUAACUACGGGAUAACCCGUUGAAAGACGGCCUAAUACCGUAUGGUUAUGGAUGGGGAUGCUUCUGAUUAGCUUGUUGGCGGGGUAACGGCCCACCAAGGCGACGAUCAGUAGGGGUUCUGAGAGGAAGGUCCCCAACAGUGGAACGGAGAAACGGUAGAAACUACUACGCGAGGAAGCAGGGAGUAGUAUUGAUAAAGGGGCGGGAGCUUGAACAAGCGAAGUAGCGUGAACGAUGACGGCCUAUGGGUGGUAAACGGCUUUGAGGGGGGGACAGGUAGCCGAGCAAUAAGGAGGGGCUAAUGCCGUGGCAGCAGCCGCGGUAAUUC